ensembl:rRNA 5S_rRNA 5S ribosomal RNA
AUCUAUGGCCAUACCACCUUGAAUGCACUUGAUUUUGUCUGUUCUUGGAAGCUAAGCAGGGUCGGGCCUGGUUAGUAUUUGGAUGGGAGAAUAAGCAGUUCAAAGAAUUGGCUGUUGCAUCUU